ACUGCUCAGUAACACGUGGACAACCUACCCUCAGCACGGGGAUAAACCCGGGAAACUGGGUAUAAUACCCGAUAGUUCUGGGAUGCUGGAAUGCUUCCAGGACGAAAGCUCCGGCGACUGAGGAUGGGUCUGCGGCCUAUCAGGUAGUAGUGGGUGUAAUGUACCUACUAGCCUACGACGGGUACGGGUCGUGAGAGCGAGAGCCCGGAGAUGGAUUCUGAGACACGAAUCCAGGCCCUACGGGGUGCAGCAGGCGCGAAAACUUUACAAUGCUGGCAACAGCGAUAAGGGGACCUCGAGUGCCAGGAUACAAUCUUGGCUGUCGUAAUGCCUAAAAAGCAUUGCAUAGCAAGGGCCGGGCAAGACCGGUGCCAGCCGCCGCGGUAACACCGGCGGCUCGAGUGGUAACCGCUAUUAUUGGGUCUAAAGGGUCUGUAGCCGGCCGGAUAAGUCUUUUGGGAAAUCCAGCUGCUCAAUAGUUGGGCUUUCAGAAGAUACUGUUCGGCUCGAGGCCGGGAGAGGUGAGAGGUACUUCAGGGGUAGGGGUGAAAUCUUGUAAUCCUUGAAGGACCACCAGUGGCGAAGGCGUCUCACCAGAACGGUCCUGACGGCAAGGGACGAAAGCUAGGGGCACGAACCGGAUUAGAUACCCGGGUAGUCCUAGCCGUAAACGAUACUCGCUAGGUGUCAGCCACGGUGCGACCGUGGUUGGUGCCGUAGGGAAGCCGUGAAGCGAGCCACCUGGGAAGUACGGCCGCAAGGCUGAAACUUAAAGGAAUUGGCGGGGGAG
rnacentral:rRNA from 1 species